CCUACGGGUGGCAGCAGUGGGGGAUAUUGGACAAUGGGGGAAACCCUGAUCCAGCGAUGCCGCGUGCGGGAAGAAGGUUCUAGGAUUGUAAACCUCUGUGGAGAGGGAGGAUAAUGACGGUACCUCUUUAGGAAGGCACGGCUAACUCCGUGUCAGCAGGCGUGGUAAUACGUAGGUGGCGAGCGUUGUCCGGAAUUACUGGGUGUAAAGGGAGUGUAGGCGGGAAAGCAAGUCAGAAGUGAAAAGUAUGGGCUUAACCCAGAGCCUGCUUCUGAAACUGUUGGUCUUGAGUUAAGUAGAGGCAGGCGGAAUGUCUGGUGUAGCGGUGAAAUGCGUAGAGAUUAGAAAGAACACCAGUGGCGAAGGCAGCUUACUGGGCUUUUACUGACGCUGAGGCUCGAAAGCGUGGGGAGCAAACAGGAUUAGAUACCCGUGUAGUC
rnacentral:rRNA from 1 species